rnacentral:rRNA from 1 species
CGGCCGUACCAUGCUGAAUAUACCGGUUCUCGUUAGAUCACCGAAGUUAAGCAUCAUUGGGCGCGGUCAGUACUUGGGUGGGUGACCACCUGGGAACACUGCGUACCGU